GAACGAGUUAAAAGUCACGUCUGAAAACUUUUUCCACACCGCAGCUUGGAUGCUGGGUAGAGAAAAGGUGAAGACUUCUUUCUUCUGGAAUGAAAGAUUUUGAGGAAAAAUUUUCUCUUUUGGUCAGAAUUGUUUGACCACAUGUGCAAGGGAUUGGAGCAGGUAAUGAAUGACUUGUGAGAUACAGCUGCAUUUUAACAGACUGGCCUCACAGACUUCACAGAACAUGAUCAGAUUCACGAGCGAUAGAGAUUGCUCUGCAGGAAGAGGCUACGCUAGAAAUGUUCGCUCUCUCAAUACAGAAGCUAGGCACAAGAAGGGAGUAAAACACAGGAGCUCUUGGAAGCACUGAGCAUUCUGGAGGUUACAAGAGCAAAUCACCAAGCACAAAGGCAGUUCAACCUGGCAAUGCAAAGAAAGUCUAGAGGGGAGAAAAUUCCUGUUUGAAGAAAAGUCAGUUCAGCAAUCCAGCUGAAUAUACUUCACUCCUGGUUGUCUUCCAGGGCUGAAGACAUUCACCUGGUGCCACUAUGAUCUAUGACUGCUGAACAUCCCCUUGAAGUUUGUGGGAUCCAGCAAGAACUGCCUUGGGAAGCCUCAAGAGCAGAGACUUGAAACAACCUAUUCCAUGAGAAUUAGAGCUAAUGAAGCCUGGGCUUCUCUGUGAAUUUAUGUCUUAGUAUAAGCCUUCGGAUGCAGGGUCAAACUGAGGUUUUUGGAAUGCUCGGUAGGAGCAAUUCUCUGAGGAUUCUCUGAGAUCUAAUACUGUCAGCUUUGUGAUAAAUGCUUCCUUAAAAUAUACAUAGUUCAUUCAGUGGGUCAGCUCUUCUAAAUACUGAUUUUUACCCAACCUGGAGAAGCUUAGCUGUCCAUAGGAUAUGUUGACAAAAUAUUAAAGGCCACAAUGCAGCGAUAUAACAUGUGCCCCCUAAAAAUCAAUGCCCUCAGGAGCUUCAUUCUACAGGUUUUGCUUCUGUAUGAAAGAUAGUUAAA